rnacentral:rRNA from 1 species
CCUACGGGUGGCAGCAGUGAGGAAUAUUGGUCAAUGGACGAGAGUCUGAACCAGCCAAGUAGCGUGAAGGAUGACUGCCCUAUGGGUUGUAAACUUCUUUUAUAAAGGAAUAAAACGAGGCACGUGUGCCUUUUUGCAUGUACUUUAUGAAUAAGGAUCGGCUAACUCCGUGCCAGCAGCCGCGGUAAUACGGAGGAUCCGAGCGUUAUCCGGAUUUAUUUGGUUUAAAGGGAGCGUAGAUGGGUUGUUACGUCAGGUGUGAAAGUUUGCGGGUCAACCGUAAAAUUGCAAUUGAUACUGGCAGUCUUGAGUACAGUUGAGGUAGGCGGAAUUCGUGGUGUAGCGGUGAAAUGCUUAGAUAUCACGAAGAACCCCGAUUGCGAAGGCAGCAUACUAAACUGUGACUGACAUUGAUGCUCGAAAGUGUGGGUAUCAAACAGGAUUAGAUACCCUUGUAGUC